GAUGAAGAACGUAGCGAAAUGCGAUAAGUAAUGUGAAUUGCAGAAUUCAGUGAAUCAUCGAAUCUUUGAACGCACAUUGCGCCCGCCAGUAUUCUGGCGGGCAUGCCUGUUCGAGCGUCAUUACAACCCUCAGGCCCCCGGGCCUGGCGUUGGGGAUCGGCGGAGCCCCCCGUGGGCACACGCCGUCCCCCAAAUACAGUGGCGGUCCCGCCGCAGCUUCCAUCGCGUAGUAGCUAACACCUCGCGACUGGAGAGCGGCGCGGCCACGCCGUAAAACACCCAACUCUGCUGAAGUUGACCUCGAAUCAGGUAGGAAUACCCGCUGAACUUAAGCAUAUCAAUAAGCGGAGGA
rnacentral:misc_RNA from 1 species